rnacentral:rRNA from 1 species
UACGGAGGGUCCAAGCGUUAUCCGGAAUCAUUGGGUUUAAAGGGUCCGUAGGCGGUUUUGUAUGUCAGUGGUGAAAGCCCAUCGCUCAACGGUGGAACGGCCAUUGAUACUGCAAGACUUGAAUUAUUGUGAAGUAACUAGAAUAUGUAGUGUAGCGGUGAAAUGCUUAGAGAUUACAUGGAAUACCAAUUGCGAAGGCAGGUUACUAACAAUAUAUUGACGCUGAUGGACGAAAGCGUGGGUAGCGAACAGG